AACGAACGCUGGCGGCAUGCCUAACACAUGCAAGUCGAACGAGACCUUCGGGUCUAGUGGCGCACGGGUGCGUAACGCGUGGGAACCUGCCCUUAGGUUUGGAAUAACUCCCCGAAAGGGGUGCUAAUACCGGAUAAUGUCUUCGGACCAAAGAUUUAUCGCCUUUGGAUGGGCCCGCGUUGGAUUAGCUAGUUGGUAGGGUAAAAGCCUACCAAGGCGACGAUUCAUAGCUGGUCUGAGAGGAUGAUCAGCCACACUGGGACUGAGACACGGCCCAGACUCCUACGCGAGGCAGCAGUGGGUAAUAUUGGACAGUGGGCGAAAGCCUGAUGCAGCAAGGCCGCGUGAGUGAUGAAGGCCUUAGAGUUGUAAAGCUCUUUUACCCGGGAUGAUAAUGACAGUACCGGGAGAAUAAGCUCCGGCUAACUCCGUG
rnacentral:rRNA from 1 species